UGGUAGUGUAUUGGACUACCACGGCAGUCACGGGUAACGGAGAAUUAGGGUUCGAUUCCGGAGAGGGAGCCUGAGAAACGGCUACCACAUCUAAGGAAGGCAGCAGGCGCGUAAAUUACCCAAUCCCGAUCCGGGGAGGUAGUGACAAGAAAUAGCAACUCGUGCGGGUUUCCGUUACGGGAUUGCAAUGAGAUAAGUCCAAAUCCGUAAACGAUUAACAAUUGGAGGGCAAGUCUGGUGCCAGCAGCCGCGGUAAUUCCAGCUCCAAUAGCGUAUACUUAAGUUGUUGCAGUUAAAAAGCUCGUAGUUGAAAUUCGAGUCUGUUACUAGUUGGCUUUUCGUCAGUUAGUUAAUUGAUUCUCCGUCUACAAUCCCUUUUGCGCUUUAGGGUUGCAGCUGGGCGAGUAGACAAUUUACCUUGAAAAAAUUAGAGUGUUCCAGGCAGGUCUUCGCCGGAAUACAUUAGCAUGGAAUAAUGGAAUAGGACUUGGGUCUUUUGUUGGUUUUAGGACUUGAGUAAUGAUUAAUAGGGACAGAUGGGGGCAUUAGUAUUUAAUUGUCAGAGGUGAAAUUCUUGGAUUUAUUAAAGACUAACUUAUGCGAAAGCAUUUGCCAAGGAUGUUUUCAUUAAUCAAGAACGAAAGUUAGGGGAUCAAAGACGAUCAGA
rnacentral:rRNA from 1 species